AACGAACGCUGGCGGCAUGCCUAACACAUGCAAGUCGAACGAGACCUUCGGGACUAGUGGCGCACGGGUGCGUAACGCGGGGGAACCUGCCCGUAGGCUCGGAAUAACUCUCCGAAAGGGGUGCUAAUACCGGAAAAUGUCCUCGGACCAAAGAUUCAUCGUCUUUGGAUGGGCCCGCGUUGGAUUAGCUUGUUGGUAGGGUAAAAGCCUACCAAGGCGACGAUCCAUAGCUGGUCUGAGAGGAUGAUCAGCCACACUGGGACUGAGACACGGCCCAGACUCCUACGGGAGGCAGCAGUGGGGAAUAUUGGACAAUGGGCGAAAGCCUGAUCCAGCAAUGCCGCGUGAGUGAUGAAGGCCUUAGGGUUGUAAAGCUCUUUUACCCGGGAUGAUAAUGACAGUACCGGGAGAAUAAGCUCCGGCUAACUCCGUG
rnacentral:rRNA from 1 species